rnacentral:rRNA from 1 species
GACGUAGGGCGCGAGCGUUGUCCGGAUUUAUUGGGCGUAAAGAGCUCGUAGGCGGCUUGUUGCGUCGACUGUGAAAACCCGCGGCUCAACCGUGUGGUCUGCAGUCGAUACGGGCAGGCUAGAAUUCGGUAGGGGAGACUGGAAUUCCUGGUGUAGCGGUGAAAUGCGCAGAUAUCAGGAGGAACACCGGUGGCGAAAGGCGGUCUCUGG